AGGGCUACACACACGCUACAAUGGUCUGUACAAUGGGUAGCCAAGGCCGCGAGGCGGAGCCAAUCCUGAAAGCAGGACCUCAGUUCAGAUUGUAGGCUGCAACUCGCCUGCAUGAAGAUGGAGUUGCUAGUAACGGUGUAUCAGACACGAUACCGUGAAUACGUUCCCGGGCCUU
rnacentral:rRNA from 1 species